ACGGAAUCUUAAAAAAAAAAAUAAUGGAAAAUAUCAAAACAUCAUUUUGGGAUAUAAGAAGCAAGCUAACAAACCAUUUCAUUAAUAUAAAAUUAUAAAUAUCUUGUGUGCUUAUCUUGUGUACAACGUUAACUUUUAUUUCUGUUAUGUCUUGUGCAUAUCUUAUUUUGAUUACUACGUGUAUUUUGUACGAAAGAUUUUGUGUACGACUUGUUUGUUUAUGGGUGGAGUACUGCGCCAUAUUUCUAAACGCUCGAUUACUACAGUUUUUUGUAAGCCUUGAAUUCCACUGUGUAAGUGUUUUGACUGUUAUAAUUAUGUAUUAUUAAUCUUCUAGUGAUGUAAUUUACCUCUGUCUUUAUUGUCAACUAUGCUUAGUUUUGCAUAUUCUUGUUACCGAUGGAUUUUAGUUUACCAUGUGCUUCAAGUAUGGUGCGCCAUUUCGUCGACAAACAUUACAUUUUGAACUUGAUAAUUACGUACUGUCAGUUUAAUAAAGUCAAUUGAUUACGGUUUUAACUCAUUAUUUUCUAUUCAAUUAAUGAAUUAAUUUAUAGAAUAUAUUUAAGAUAUGUUGCAUUACUUAAUUCUAUGUGAAAGGUUUAUUGAAUUGUUUUUCUAUGGAAACCAAUACCUGUCAUUUUUAUUUGUAUUUUGUUUAUUACAGAUUCUUAUCGCAUUGCAGUUAUCUGUCAAUUAAAAUCUUUAAUGCUU
rnacentral:sRNA from 1 species